CCUACGGGUGGCAGCAGUGAGGAAUAUUGGUCAAUGGACGGAAGUCUGAUCCAGCGACGCCGCGUGAGUGAAGAAGUAUUUCGGUAUGUAAAGCUCUAUCAGCAGGGAAGAAAGAAAUGACGGUACCUGACUAAGAAGCCCCGGCUAACUACGUGCCAGCAGCCGCGGUAAUACGUAGGGGGCAAGCGUUAUCCGGAUUUACUGGGUGUAAAGGGAGCGUAGACGGCGAGGCAAGUCUGAAGUGAAAGGCGGGGGCCCAACCCCCGGACUGCUUUGGAAACUGUAUGGCUGGAGUGCAGGAGAGGUAAGUGGAAUUCCUAGUGUAGCGGUGAAAUGCGUAGAUAUUAGGAGGAACACCAGUGGCGAAGGCGGCUUACUGGACUGUAACUGACGUUGAGGCUCGAAAGCGUGGGGAGCAAACAGGAUUAGAUACCCUUGUAGUC
rnacentral:rRNA from 1 species